rnacentral:rRNA from 1 species
UACGGAGGAGGCAAGCGUUAUCCGGAAUUAUUGGGCGUAAAGCGUCCGCAGGUGGCAGUUCAAGUCUGCUGUCAAAGACCGGGGCUUAACUUCGGAAAGGCAGUGGAAACUGAACAGCUAGAGUAUGGUAGGGGCAGAGGGAAUUCCUGGUGUAGCGGUGAAAUGCGUAGAGAUCAGGAAGAACACCGGUGGCGAAAGCGCUCUGCUAGGCCGCAACUGACACUGAGGGACGAAAGCUAGGGGAGCGAAUGGG